UGGGGAAUUUUGGACAAUGGGCGCAAGCCUGAUCCAGCCAUGCCGCGUGCGGGAAGAAGGCCUUCGGGUUGUAAACCGCUUUUGUCAGGGAAGAAAUCUUCUGAGUUAAUACCUCGGGAGGAUGACGGUACCUGAAGAAUAAGCACCGGCUAACUACGUGCCAGCAGCCGCGGUAAUACGUAGGGUGCAAGCGUUAAUCGGAAUACUGGGCGUAAAGCGUGCGCAGGCGGUUUUGUAAGACAGAGGUGAAAUCCCCGGGCUAACCUGGGAACUGCCUUUGUGACUGCAAGGCUUGAGUGCGGCAGAGGGGGGAUGGAAUUCCGCGUGUAGCAGUGAAAUUGCGUAGAUAUGCGGAGGAACACCGAUGGCGAAGGCAAUCCCCCUGGGGCCUGCACUGACGCUCAUGCACGAAAGCGUGGGGAGC
rnacentral:rRNA from 1 species